rnacentral:rRNA from 1 species
GUCGAGAAUCUUUCACAAUGGGGGCAACCCUGAUGGAGCGACGCCGCGUGGAGGAUAAGGUCUUCGGAUUGUAAACUCCUGUCAUGCGUGAACAAGGUUGCUUGGAUAAUACCUGAGCAAAUUGAUGGUAGCGCAAGAGGAAGAGACGGCUAACUCUGUGCCAGCAGCCGCGGUAAUACAGAGGUCUCAAGCGUUGUUCGGAAUCACUGGGCGUAAAGGGUGCGUAGGUGGCGUGGCAAGUCAGAUGUGAAGGCCCGGGGCUCAACCUCGGAACUGCAUCCGAUACUGCCAUGCUAGAGUACUGGAGGGGUGACUAGAAUUCUCGGUGUAGCAGUGAAAUGCGUAGAUAUCGAGAGGAAUACCAAAGGCGUAGGCAGGUCACUGGACAGUUACUGACACUGAGGCACGAAGGCCAGGGGAGCGAACGGGAUUAGAAACCCCGUAGUCC